AGGGAGACAACACAACGAUUUUGAUGCCUGAGUACUUUUAUUCUUAGGCCGAAAUCCUGUCACCUUAGGUCGAUCGGUACCUCAGCUUUGAAGUUGAGGAUCAGCAGCAAUGUUGAUUGCUUGAUGGAGAUUUUCAGUUCCUAAACUUUGUCUAGGUCACACCCCAAAAGGGAUGAGACUCCUGGGCCAUUAGCUCAGGUGGUUAGAGCGCACCCCUGAUAAGGGUGAGGUCCCUGGUUCAAGUCCAGGAUGGCCCAUUCGGUGUUGGGGGUUUAGCUCAGUUGGUAGAGCGCCUGCUUUGCAAGCAGGAUGUCAGGAGUUCGAGUCUCCUAACCUCCACUGACCGAACUUGAUUCCCAUCUCCAAUUUUUUGGAGUUGAGCUCGAUUGGAGUGUGAUUUAGAUGAGUCCGCUGGAUGACCCCAGCUUCCUGUCAUUCCAAGUUUUAGGUUAAAGCCUUGAAUUUGGUUGAUAAGAUGCUGGGCUCGGAUCAAAUGAUCAAGCAAUUGAUGAUUUGAUUUGAAGUUCUAGCAGAACCUUGACAACUGCAUAGGUGAGUCUGGAAAAAACAAAGCAUCUUACAGAUGCAUUGUUUUGAAUCUGAUCUUCUGAAAGGGAGAUUGGAUCUAGAACAAUGAAAAUUCUUUUGAGCAAGAGCCGAGACUCUUGAACGUUCUUUGAUUGGUGUCGAGCCAAUCGGAGUUUGAUCUUGUUUUUAGCAAUAAAAACUUGAGAAUCUGCUUUCAACGGCGGUAAGCGUUCAGGAGGUUAAUU
rnacentral:tRNA from 1 species